GUGCUCACUUCAGCAGCACGUAUACUAAAUUUGGAAUGAUAUAGACAAGAUUAACAUGGCCCCUGCAUAUGGAUGACACUCAAAUUCAUGAAGUAUUCCAUAUUUUU
rfam:Tupaia chinensis contig204467, whole genome shotgun sequence.